CCUGAAGAGAAAUGCAGAAACAGCCAUAUAUAUGCUUACUGCAUCUCCGGGCAGCGACAGAUCUAUACAAAAUUCUUGUGGAAACUUCAAAGGAGAAGCUAUAUGUGCUUACUGCAUUUCAGGGCUCAGCCAGGAGCCAUAUCUUUCUUCGAGUUCCCUGGGGUGGCAUAUUUGUGGUGGCAGCUGAUCACAUUACAUCAAAAGAAGGCCCCACCUUUUUGUAGCAGACUGUUGAUCAGGUUAUUGUAGAACUUGAUGCCUGCCAGAUUAACACCUCCAAAGCGACCCUCUGUUCAGGGCCAUUCAAAGGUAAACACAAGUUAAAAUGGUAGUACAAAGAAUAGUUCUGUGCAAGAUCACCCUUGUGUUCUUGACCUGGGAGGUCGGUCCAAAGGCGUUGACAGUUGGUCAGUAUAACUCAUGAGGUUCUGGAAGCAAAGCUUACUUGGAAGUAUUCUCGACCAGGACAAUGAGAAUCUAUAGGAGUCGAGGCCCAGUGAAUGCAUCAUCUCUGUGUCCUCCUGUCAAUGCCGACUUAGUAGCGAUGGUAAUGGUCAACAGCCACAUCGCCAUUGCUUCCAUCGACAAUCUUUCCUGGUUUUGGAGCAGCAGCAGCAAGAUAAGAUAGCCAACAAAAUCAAGUGGGUCUGUGAUCGUCACAGCGCACGUCUGUAGCUACACUUGCUGCCAUCAGUCAUCUACAAGUAUUAAAACAGCUAGCUACCUCCUGAAUUGAGUCUACCAACAAUGAUACGAUCCAUUGUUUUCAAUACAGAAUUGUCCUAGCUAGGUACUAGGAGAAAAUUCCUUAUUUGCCAUCAAAAUUUAGAGUACUUCCCUAUUUGCCAUCAUGAAAGUUUUCUUUCCUUAUUUGCCAUUGAGCCAAA